AUUUCAGCUUGUUGCGGCUAUUGUACCAUAGCUGCACAUGCCGUGGGGUCAAAUGCCCAGUAUAACGUCUAAAUCUUGGGUUCCACAAGGCACCAAAUUAGGAUCAGUUCUCAGUAUCUCACAUAAGAAAAGGAGAGUUUCAUUAUAUAUAGACAAAUGGAUACACAUGAAAAUCACAUCACUCUAAACAAACACAAAAUAAAAUGCCACAACAGCUUUUAACUCCUGCUAAACAUUGAAUGGAGAAAAUAACCCACCAGCGUACACAAACACUAAACCACACUGUUCUUUCAUCACAUUUUCCCCCAACCCCACAUCGUCGUAAAGAGUCGCCACAAACAAAUUCCAGCACGACCCAUCAUAGCUUCUUAAUACAGCUCCUGUCUUCUGGAUUUAUAUCCUAGGGCCAGGUGUAGAUAAAUGAUACUCUCCAAUGACUGCUCUUACAAGGCAAGAGCCACCUCUUUAUUCUGCUUGAGCAGAUUGCAUGCAGCAAAACCAUUUUUUCUGCAAACCAAUAAUGCAUUUUGAAAUAGAAAGUGUCAUAGGAUGCUAGCCAACAAGAAUUUUUUGCCCUAAUGAAUUUGUAGAAAGAGAAACACGAAUAGAAGUGGUGAAGAAAGAAAUGGUAUUCAAUAGAAGCAACAGACAGGUAAUAAUAACACCAACUGAAGAAAAGAUCAAGGGAGAUCAUCUGAAAGCAUUUUUGCUGUGGCAAAAAAUCAGUGCAAAAAUGCAGACAGACAUGGAAUGGUUUUCCUUCUUCCCCCCUUUUCCAGUAAGUAGAGAUACCUUAAGAGUCAAGAGUCAUAAAGGAUUGCUGGUUAACACCAUAAUGCAUAGGAAAUGCAGCACAUAUCCUCCAAAAAAAGUUAGGCUAUCAUAUGAGUGAUCAAAGACCAGGACAGCAAACUGAGAGUGCGAGAGGAAGAUAACAUUGCAAAAAAAUUUUAUUUGUUAUAAAACAAGAUAUAAAUUCAAAUAAAAAGGAGUUUAGUAGCGUAAACCAAGCAAAGGAUAAAGCUUUAUUGACAGAAAAUGAGGUCAUCACCAACAAUUUUUAAAUGACCAAUGCAAUUCCAAUUUAUCACCAAACAUGAAGUCAACAGAUCAGCAGACGACAAAUUUUGAAUUUGGAAAUCAUUUAUCAUUAGCCUAAUAGAGAAAUCAGGAGGCAUACAUUAAAAGUGUUGUGCAUAAUUUUUUUUUAAAUAGAUCAUUAAUUCAGAGUAAAAAGUAAUGCUUAUCAACAGAAAUCUAUUUACCUCCACACAUGAAGGCAUGGAACUGAUAGUGUGAAACAGAAAUACUUGCAGGAUGAUGCUGGCAAGGUAUUUAAAAGGCUACUAAUUUAAGGUUUAAGCAAGGUUUCAACUUACAGGCUGAGGCUUUCCAAGUGUAGCAGUGUCAGACUUAAAUCCAGAGCUAUCCCUAGCUGGUGAGUCUGGCUUUCCACCUGACUUUUUCUCAUUCCUAGCCUUGUUGAAGAUGACUGUGAAUCCCUCAGCUGAUGCUGGAUCAUUGACAUCCCAUUCACCAAACUUAGGCAACGGCUGAUCCUUUUCCGCCAUGAUUAGGAGAUAGAAAGAGAAAUUCUACUCAACUCUCCUCCUUAGCUUGUGAUUAUGGUGGAGGAGGAGGUGGCGGUGGCAGUGAGAACAGACUCUAAGGGGGAUGAACAGAGAGAUAGAGAGAAGGAGAGGGGUAAAUGUGGGUCAAUUGGGUUUCGGCCAAGAAGAAAGAGGCUCAUAGAUAUUAUAAAAGGACGAAGUGUGGGG
rnacentral:misc_RNA from 1 species